rnacentral:rRNA from 1 species
CAAUAGCGUAUAUUAAAGUUGUUGCAGUUAAAAAGCUCGUAGUCGGAUUUCGGGUCGGGCCGAGCGGUCUGCCGAUGGGUAUGCACUGUUUGGCGGGUGCUCUCCUUCCGGAGGCUCGUUCCCUUCUUAAUUGAAGGGUUCGUUGGUUCCGGGUCUUUUACUUUGAAAAAAUUAGAGUGUUCAAAGCAGGCCUAUGCUCUGAAUAGGUUAGCAUGGAAUAAUAGAAUAGGACUUUGGUUCUAUUUUGUUGGUUUCUAGGACCGAAGUAAUGAUUAAUAGGGACAGUUGGGGGCAUUCAUAUUCCAUUGUCAGAGGUGAAAUUCUUGGAUUCGGUCAAGACUAACUUAUGCGAAAGCAUUCACCAAGGAUGUCUUCUUUAAUCAAGAACGAAAGUUGGGGGAUCGAAGAUGAUUAGAUACCAU